GGGAGGUAAGGCAAUGAAUAGGCCAUAGUGGCGAAAUAAUUACAAUAUAGCAAUAAAACACUGGAGUGAUAGAUGUGCAGAGGAUGAAUUUGCAAGUAGAGACACUGGGGUGCAAAUGAGCAAAAUAAAUAAAUAAAUACAGUAUGGGGAUGAAGUACUGUAGUUCAUCGAUAGUUAAAUAUUAGGUCAAUAAUAAUAUUCAUCGUCAUCAUCAUUAAUAAACACACACGUUUCAAGGCUAAACAUAUUUUAACACCCAUCGAUUUGAAGAAAGCAUGCCUAUAUUCCACACGGGGACCAGUCUUUGGAAGUUGUAGUAUUGGGGAGGUUAUGAGAGGCUGAGGGAGGGAGGAAUGAGCAGAAUUGAAUUACAAACACAUUUUCGGGUGCCUUUGCUCCACUUCAUACCAGCGUGGGGUAGGUAAAGGUAGACGACGGAUUUUAUCCACCAAAUCUCAGCGGGAAAACUGAGUAUUUUCUCAAUGCGAGACUUAUUGAGGAGACUGGAACACGAGUUGUAGCCUACUCGCGCCUGUCUCACCUGCGUGACUUUUCAGUGUGUCUUGGAAACUGCGACCGUAAGCUUUGAUUUGAAAAAAUAGAGCAGAGCCGCAACACGAUAUAUCGGGACAUUGAUUUGAAUUGAAUGGAUCAUUGUGCGCUGAAUUCGUCUAUAUGGGAUGUACUGUGAGUUUCAUCUGUUGUGAGGACGAGUUGUUGGUGCCCCUCGGUCGCUAUGAGGAGAAAGAGAAAGAAGAAUCCACAAUCUUAUCAAAGGAACAACAAGGAAGGCGAGAGGAAAGAACAACAUACAUGGACACUUCAUCAGACACUCCACACCAGGCUUCCAGCAUGUUCUCUUGACAUAUUAUGACAUGACCCUCAAGCUUGUUGCUUCUGGCUAUAGAUGAAGCGUUCAGUGGUGUGUUUUCCUUUCCCCUAAUCUUGCUGUCCAGAGGAUUUUGUCAAGAGCAAGCCUUCAUUUCUGAGUUGUUGUCUACUGGACAGAACUGAGGAAAGGACAGUGAUUUAAUAAAGGCAAUGCUGUGU
rnacentral:lncRNA from 8 species